GAGCACGUAGGUGGGUUUGUAAGUCAGAUGUGAAAGCCUUCUGUUCAACGGAAGAAUUGCAUCUGAAACUGCGAGUCUUGAGUGUAGGAGGGGAGAAUGGGACUUCUGGUGGGGCGGUGAAAUGCGUAGAUAUCAGAAGGAACGCCGGCGGCGAAAGCGAUUCUCUGGCCUAUUACUGACACUCAGUGUGCGAAAGCUAGGGGAGCAAACGGGAUUAGAUACCCCGGUAGUCCUAGCCGUAAACGAUGGGCACUAAGUAGAGGGGUUUU
rnacentral:rRNA from 1 species